CCUCUUCUUCUCUCCCUGGCUUCCCCGUGCCCGACACGCCGACCCCCACCUCACCCCUCUCCCGUCUCAAUUGCUCCCGUUGUUUGCUGUGGCGAUCACGGGUAACGACGGGAGGUAACGAGAACCGAGCGAGGCACGUCAUUGCUCUCCUUGCAUUUGGGGGUUUGAUUUUCUUGUGGCGGCGCACAUUUGUGUGCGCUGUCGUUUUGUUUGCCCUCUUCGCUUGGCCCCUUCCUGCCGAAUCGGCUGAUGAGGCACAGAUGCCGGAAGCGUGAUGCCAACACCCCGAACUAGCCCGUUGAGUCCUCCUGACUCCCAUGUGCAGAGCCUCCACAUCACCCUAUGGAAUGCAGCAGCUUGAAGAGACUCAAGGCGAAAUAUUGCAUGCAGGCCGAGUGCAGAAGGUCUGGGAAGACCCCUUUGGCAAGGCAGCCGAGCCCCCCCCCCCGCGCCCGUCCGGGGUGCGCGGAGGCGACGCCCCACCCCCCCCCCUUACACCGGCCCGCGCAGCCGGAAACCGACGCCUGCGCCCGCACGCAGGGCUCUGGGCACGGCCGGCCCAAGCAGUCCGACUCGCGCCGGCAGCGAGGCACGUAUCCGAGGAGGGGCGGGGUAGGACAGUGGGAGGCCUGUUGGGCGCAGGGCCCGGUUCGGCGGCAGACGAUUCGCCCCAGAAGGCCACGUUAUUAGCCUUAUCCCUGCGAAGGUGGGUGAGCGCUGUCGUCGUGUAUGCAUGGGUGUGUGUGAUGACUUGUGGUAGAGAGCGUCACAGUGAACGAAAAAGUGAACAUGUUUGCUACCCGCAUGGCAGUGUAGGUCCCAGCGCGUGGUAUCCAGACUCCAGUACACCCACUCUCAGUGUGGAGGGAAAGCCACGCAGCCCCCUACCCCCUAUCCCCUGCCGACGCCGAAUCACUUCGGGUGGUGGCAGGAUCAAAUGCCCACAACAUGGUAAAGCCAGAGCGAUUCAUCGCUACUGAUGCCGGCGGUGCGGUUCUGGGUGGCGUCGGAGAGACCUGCGACAGUGAACACGUUUGUACCAUCCAUGCGAUGCGGAGAGUCGCAUUGUGAUUCGAAUGCAUCCCACCCGGCCCUCGCGCUGUCCAGUGGCGUGGGGCGGCUGUGAAGCAACCUGCAGAACGGAGGUGGAGAGAGUUUCAGGCAGAGGCCGUGUUCAGAUAAUUGAUUUGGCGCAUCGCUGUAACGCGUGUCUCCACCGCCGUCUCGCACCACGAGAUGUACGUGUGACAGGCCUUGUAGAUGGGACUUGAGCUCACGUUUUAUCGCAGAGAAUGGGGGCAUCGAAAAAGAAAAGGCCAUAAUACUUCCACUAACAGCAAAGGGGGUGCGUCGAAACAAGUCGAGUGGAAACGGUGGAUCGUAG
rnacentral:misc_RNA from 1 species